rnacentral:rRNA from 1 species
CCCUUAGAUGUUCUGGGCCGCACGCGCGCUACACUGACAUGUUCAUCGAGAUUUUUACCUUGACCGACAGGUCUUCGGCAAACUUUUCAAAUCAUGUCGUGAUGGGGCUAGAUUAUUGUAAUUAUUAAUCUUCAACGAGGAAUUCCUAGUAGACGCGAGUCAUCAACUCGCAUCGAUUACGUCCCUGCCCUUUGUACACACCGCCCGUCGCUACUACCGAUUGAACAUUUUAGUGAGUUGCGAGGAGUGGGGAUAGUCAGGCAACUGGCUAUACCUGCGAGAAGCUGCAAACUUGGAUGUUUAGAGGAAGUAAAAGUCGUAACA